CCUUAUAGCCGUGCCACCCUGAAGAAGCCCGAUCUCGUCUGAUUUCAGAAGCUAAGCAGGGUCGGGCCUGGUUAGUACUUGGAUGGGAGACCACCUAGGAAGACCAGGUGCCUGUAGGCA
rnacentral:rRNA from 1 species